rnacentral:rRNA from 1 species
ACGGGAUUUGUAUGGUGCUUGCACCAUGUAAUGAGAGUAGCGCACUGGUGAGUAACACGUGGGAACAUACCUUGAAGUGGGGGACAACAGUUGGAAACGACUGCUAAUACCGCAUAAUCCCUGAGGGGGAAAGAUUUAUCGCUUUAAGAUUGGCCCGCGGAAGAUUAGGUAGUUGGUGGGGUAAAGGCCUACCAAGCCGACGAUCUAUAGCUGGUCUGAGAGGACGAACAGCCACAUUGGAACUGAGACACGGUCCAGACUCCUACGGGAGGCAGCAGUGAGGAAUAUUGGGCAAUGGAGGAAACUCUGACCCAGCCAUGCCGCGUGAGUGAAGAAGGUUCUCGAAUUGUAAAGCUCUUUCGGAUGGGACGAUGAUGACGGUACCAUCUAAAGAAGCCCCGGCAAACUUCGUGCCAGCAGCCACGGUAAUACGAAGGGGGCAAGCGUUGUUCGGAAUUACUGGGCGUAAAGGGUGUGUAGGCGGAUUUGUAAGAUAGUGGUGAAAUACCUGAGCUCAACUUAGGAAUUGCCAUUAUAACUAUAGAUCUGGAGUGACAGAGAGGAUAUUGGAAUACCCAGUGUAGAGGUGAAAUUCGUAGAUAUUGGGUAGAACACCAGUGGCGAAGGCGAGUAUCUGGCUGUCAACUGACGCUGAGGCACGAAAGCAUGGGGAUCAAACAGGAUUAGAUACCCUGGUAGUCCAUGCUGUAAACGAUGAAUGCUAGUUGUCGGCAAAAGCCGGUGACGCAGUUAACGCGAUAAGCAUUCCGCCUGGGG